GGAUCAGAGAAGGCUGAAGAAGGUGGAGAAACUGAGGCACAAAAAGAGGGCAGUGAAGAUGUGGGCAACCUCCCUGAAGCCCAGGAGAAGAAUAAAAUGGAAGCUAUGAAGCAACAUUUCAAAUGUCUCUCCACAAACCAAACUCAACAGAAUACUUUGGCUUGAAGCCGGCACACCCAGGGUUACUGAGGACUUAUGCUGCCUGACCUGGUUAGAUGUACAUGGAGGUAUCUCCCGAAUCAUACAAAAUUAAAUGUGAAGACCGUUUAUGCAUACCUUCAUGUGCCUGACAGUCUUGGCUUUUGAAGAUUUUUUUUUCUUUUUUGCUCUGCAUAGCUAGACCAUCUUAUUAAUAAUACUCUGAAAAAAAUGAUUUCAAGGCAUGGAAGUUCUCUGUGAUACAACAAUAGUAUUUCUUCAAAUGCGCCUUAUGCUACUUAUCUCAGAAACAGGUUUUAAAAUGAAGUGCUUUCCAGAGAACCAUCAUAUAAAUAAAGAUUAAUAGAAAAAUA
rnacentral:lncRNA from 1 species